UCUUGGUCGGAGGGAGCUUCUGCACUUGGGGAACCAGACAUCUCCACGUACGUGCCACUGAGCCAGUCCCCAAGCUCCGCAAAGAUAGAAGCUCCUUUAUUUGGGACCUUGCCCUGUGUAUCUCUUCAUCGGGCUGUUAACUUGUAUCCUUCAUUAAACUGGUAAAGUUUUUCCUGUACACCAGUGCUUCUCAAAGUUUAACAUGACUUCAGACCACCUGGAGGUCUUACUGUGAUGAGGCCAUGGUGCUGCAGACCUACAAGCUCUGGGAGAUUCAGUUCUGGAGGCUGCAAGUCCAAGAUCGUGCUGCCAGGAGACCUGGGACCUGGAGAUUGACAGAAAGCCCAGGAAUGGAUGCCAGUGCUGACACUCACUCCCAGGUCGCCUACCUCAGUUUACCAAGAAGAAGGACAGCUCCUGCUGUCUCUCCCUCUGGCCUGCGUACUCCUCGCCUCCACUCUAGUGAGCUG